AGAGAAGAGUCGCCCCGAGUCCAGGAAAGAAGAGGAACCAGCAGGGAUAUCAAGCUAAAGCGGUGGAGGGGAACUUACUGGAUAUGGGAAAUGUCUUAAGUGGCUGGGAUAAAAAGAAUUUUGACUUGGAGCCACAAGCAACUGUGAAGACAAGUGCAUCAGGACUAAAGACAGAAAAAGACCAGCCCAGCGAGAGCAUUGGCCAAACACCACAGCACAAUGGCAACACUGUAAAGGAUGAAGCAACGGUCAGCAUUACACCCCCCGCCUCAGAAGCUGGCAAUGAUGAGGA